rnacentral:rRNA from 1 species
GACGAACGCUGGCGGCGUGCUUAACACAUGCAAGUCGAACGGAAAGGCCCUGCUUUUGUGGGGUGCUCGAGUGGCGAACGGGUGAGUAACACGUGAGUAACCUGCCCUUGACUUUGGGAUAACUUCAGGAAACUGGGGCUAAUACCGGAUAGGAGCUCCUGCUGCAUGGUGGGGGUUGGAAAGUUUCGGCGGGUGGGGUUGGACUCGCGGCUUAUCAGCUUGUUGGUGGGGUAGUGGCUUACCAAGGCUUUGACGGGUAGCCGGCCUGGGAGGGUGACCGGCCACAUUGGGACGGAGAUAGGGCCCAGACUCCUACGGGAGGCAGCAGUGGGGAAUAUUGCACAAUGGGCGGAAGCCUGAUGCAGCAACGCCGGGUGCGGGAUGACGGCCUUCGGGUUGUAAACCGCUUUCGCCUGUGACGAAGCGUGAGUGACGGUAAUGGGUAAAGAAGCACCGGCUAACUACGUG